rnacentral:rRNA from 1 species
CUUGGCGACCAUAGCGUUGUGGACCCACCUGAUCCCUUUCCGAACUCAGAAGUGAAACACAGUAGCGCCGAUGGUAGUGUGGGGUUUCCCCAUGUGAGAGUAGGACAUCGCCAGGC